GUUAAGGGGGGACUUACUAGGAAACGCAGUGGGUCCAGAGUGUCGACCCAGCACCUAGGGACAUCAGCACUGGGAAAAGUCAAGUAAAUAAAUGGGUUUUAACCCUUUAUAUUCCCAGGCAUGGGGAAGGCAGAAGGAACUAUGGCAUCUUUGUAUUCCUGGCACUUACAGUAUACCUUUAAGACCAUCUUGAAAUACAUUUAUAGUUUAUUUUGCAUUGUAACAUACUCAAAUGUCUAAUAUUAAGAAAGACGCACAUAAGGG